CAACUUUCAACAAUGGAUCUCUAGGCUCUUGCAUCGAUGAAGAACGUAGCGAAUUGCGAUAAUUAUUGCGAAUUGCAGCACGUGAGUCAUUGAGUUUUUGAACGCACUUUGCACCUUUUCUUUGGAUUAGGUAUGCCUGUUUGAGCAUCAGUU
rnacentral:rRNA from 2 species